rnacentral:lncRNA from 1 species
UGGAGGCUUAGGAAAGACAGACCUGGAAAAAACCCAGUAAAAGGCUAAUCAGAAGCUCAGAGGAAAUUGCAACCAGUUGCCCUUUAUCUACCUAUGACCUGGAAGCUCCCGCCCCACUUCGCGUUGUCCUUGCCCUCUCCUGUUAGCUAGUGUCCUCUCUUGACCACUACCAUCUGCCACUGAGGCACAGCACACUGCACAGGGCUCACAUCUGAAAGCUCACAUCUUACAUAAACCACAACUGCCACAGCAGCACUCCAGUGUCACCCCAGAGAGGGAAGCCUGAGCUGCAGGAGGAGAGCCUGCAGGCCUCCUGGGGAGAACUGCACCUUUACAUUAAUGGACAUUGGAAUAGUAAUUCAGCCUCAG